rnacentral:rRNA from 1 species
GGGGCAUCCCGACUUACCAACCCGAUGCAAACUACGAAUACCGAAGAAUGUUAUCACGGGAGACACACGGCGGGUGCUAACGUCCGUCGUGAAGAGGGAAACAACCCAGACCGCCAGCUAAGGUCCCAAAGUCAUGGUUAAGUGGGAAACGAUGUGGGAAGGCACAGACAGCCAGGAUGUUGGCUUAGAAGCAGCCAUCAUUUAAAGAAAGCGUAAUAGC